CUAAAACUGCGUUCCAAUGCCUUACCCGAUGCCUCGGGCCUUGAUCACGAGCCUCCUCUGCAUACAUGAUACUUCAGGGCAUUCCCUGGCCAAAUGAAUACAUUAGAAUCAAGUACGGCCCACGCACAUUCAAACAUUCAACCAGACACAAGUUCUAAAUUUUCCCACCCACACCUAUAUUUGCCUAUCUGUUUCAACAAAAUUCAUGCUUAUUCCAAAUUAAACCGCUAAUAAUGAAUUAAAACAAAUACGUAUUCACAUUUAUCAAUUUUAAUUACGCCCCAAACAAUCAAUUUUAAUUCUCAAAUGAGAUGCUAUUUCACCAUGCAAAUCAUAAUCAAAGGAACCAACCGCUAAUCAAAACAAAUACGCAUUUAUCACCAACAAGGAUCAAAUAAAACAUACAAUAUUUAAUCCAACACACCAAAAUAUAGUAAAUAAUGAAAUAAAAAGAGAGAUAAUAGAAUUGGACCUCGAUUCGUAGCUUUCAAACUCAAUGUUAUUCGAAUAAAGAAAAUCCACGCCCGGAAACCUCGAACCGAACCUCAAACAAACAAACUUAUCCAACUCAGAACUGAGAAUCACAGAAACAAAGAGACCUGGACCAGAUUCUCACGAACCCAUACAACCUCGAACUAAAAAUUAUGAGAAAUAAGAGAAAUUCGGACCGAUUCCAAUGGGUUUGGACGGAAUCAAAAGUAGAUCGAGGUUUGUUUGAUGAUUUUGUAUCGCUGUGACCCCGGUAAACUUUGGCUAUGACCAAAACGACAAAGAGAUAUCAAUUGAGACGUAUUCGAUGGGUUUUGAAUGAAUUUAUAACAGCUAGACGCGAUUUCGGUGAGCCUGUCACCGGAAUAGUAAUCAAACCACCAAAAUUGUGUUCCUCAAGCUCUCACUCACUAAAAACUACUUCGCCAUCGUUCUCUUUUGAUUUCAAUCACGGAUCUCUCCCUCUCUCGAAGCUCUCUGUCACUCUCUCGCAGAUAUCUCUCUCGCAGAUCUCUCUCACUCUCUCGCAGCUCUUUCUUUCUCACAUCAUCUCUUAUCUAUCCAUUUCUGUAUGUAUCCCCGUGGAAUUAAGAGUGAACAGUGUAUGGGUGUGUGACGGUGAGGUCGAAGGAAUUGUGGUGAAAAAAUGGAGUCUCCGUGCUGUGUGUGGUAGCUAGUGGAGAGUAUUUUUUUGGUCCCCCCAAUGGAAAAUGGGAGUAUCUCCUUAUGUAUUGAUAAGAAUGGAAAAAUCUGUGGGCACCGUACCUUUUUUUUAUUUAUUGUUCAUUAAUUGUUAUGGAAAAGAAAAGGGUAAAGAAAACGUUAGUGGGGUGAGGGGUAGGGUAGGCGGGUAGGGUAAGGGUAGGUGGGGUAGUGGUUGUUUAUUUUUGAUUGGAUAGGUUGUUAGAAUAAAAAUAAAAUUAGUUAGGGGUUGUUAUUUUUUGUUCUUUUAUGGGAAAUAUUAGAUGGCUGAGGGUAUGUGGUUAGACGGGAUAAGAUAAUAAAAAUAAUUUUUUGAUGGGACAAAACUACGUGUCUACAUCAUGCCCCCUUUGAAUGUAAACACAAAGUGUUUUCAUACAAAGAAGUCAACAACGAGACGGAAUUUUGUCCCGAUCAUUAUUCAAAAGAGGAAAUAGAAGAAAAAAGGACAACCGCAUCUUUGACUUAGGACACUCCCACCUACCCAAGUUAUAAGGGAAUGAAGUAACAGGUAUCUUAAAGGAUUGGAAGGAGAAGGACUAUACCGAGUUGGAGAGUCGAGUGAGGUUCCAUCGAGGUUCCAUUCUACGGCUCUGUUAUUACAUCAAAAUGAAAAUUAAAAGUCAAGACAUAAAUGAAAUUACAAAAAUCCUAUCUAUGCAGCUUCUUUUGGAUUCCUGACUUGAGUUUCAUCAUCCUAUUCUUCAGGCGGGCUCCUGACUUGCAAUUUCUUCAACUUGUUGCUUGGCUUUCAAUUUCAUCACCCUGUUCUUCAGGCGGGAUCCUGACUUGCUAUUUUUCAAUUGUUGACUUUCAAUUUCUUUCUUUUGUUACUUGACUUUCAACUGUUUCACCUUGUUGCUUGCUUCCCAUGUAUUCGUCCUGUUCUUCAGGUGGGCUCCUGAAAUCACAUCAAAACUAAAAAAAAAUUAUCCCAAACAAAGAAAUGCAUUUUCUAUGAGUUAAUUAAAAUGAUUCGACUAGAAGGUACAUCUUAUAGGAAUCAAAGAGGAUGACUCAACUAAAAGGUAUGUCUUAUAGGAAUCAAAGAGGAUGACUCAACUAAAAGGUAUGUCUUAGAGGAAUCAAAGGGAAUGACUCGACUAAAAAGUAUGUCUUAUAGGAAUCAAGGAAGAAUAACUCGACUAAAAGGUACGUAUUAUAGGAAUCAAAGGGGAUGACUCGACUAAAAGGUACGUCUUAUAGGAAUCAAAGGGAAAUGACUCGACUAAAAGGUACGUCUUAUAGGAAUCAGAGGGGAUGACUAGACUAAAAGGUACGUCUUAUAGGAAUCAGAGGGAAUGACUCAACUAAAAGGUACGUCUUAUAGGAAUAGAGAUAACUCAACUAAAAGGUACAUCUUAUAGGAAUCAAAGAGGAUGACUCGACUAAAAGGUACAUCUUAUAGGAAUCAAAGGGGAUGACUCGACUAAAAGGUACGUCUUAUAGGAAUCAAAGGGAGAUGACUCGACUAAAAGGUACGUCUUAUAGGAAUCAGAAGGAAUGACUCGACAAAAAGGUACGUCUUAUAGAAAUCAAAAGGAAUGACUCGACUAAAAGGUAUGUCUUAUAGGAAUCAAAGGGAAUGACUCGACUAAAAGGUACGUCUUAUAGGAAUCAAAGGAAAUGACUCGACUAAAAGGUAUGUCUUAUAGGAAUCAAGAAAGAAUGACUCGACUAAAAGGUACGUCUUCUAGGAGUCAAGGGGAUGACUCAACUAAAAGGUAUGUCUUGUAGGAAUCAAGGGAGAUGACUUGACCAAAAGGUACGUCUUAUAGGAAUCAAAGGAAAUGACAGGCUAAAAGGUACGUCUUCUAGGAGUAAAGGUUCAAUUUAAGAAGUGUAUCACCUAGAAAAUGAAAACUGAAUUCCCUGGAAAAGAAAGUGUCUUCGAGGGAUAUAGGAUGAUGAAUUUUUACCAUGAUUUUAUUAUCAAACCUGUGCAGCAAUAUUGCUUUCUGCAUUUGUAAAAGUGAGGCAUUGCAACCCUUGAUAUUUAUGCUCUGAAGUCCCUGCUUUGAAGGUAAUAUGUUUCCUGUUUCAUCAAAGAAAACUUGUGAGUUUAAAACAUGGUGGCUGGUUUGUGGCUUUAGCUUUCGCGGAAAUCGCUCUUGCUCUGGUCACAUUUAACCUUACUUCCCACCAUUAGCAUAUGACAGUGACUUGCUGUAUCAUUGACCCAAACUCAGAUUAUUAAGAGUGGCUCUGAAACAAACAUAGUAUUUCCAUUUUUCCAUGCUUCUCAAAUAGACCCUUUCAACCUUGAUAUUUUCAUGAGUUCCCAGACUUGUCUGUUGACACAACUUUCUACAUGCCCCUUUUCUCACUUGUUUUGAUAUAGACUUGACGAAAAAACAAUAGAAAAAUGACAACAACUUUUUUUUAUUUGGGUAAAUGACUCAAGAAAAUAAAAAUAAAAAUAAAGAGAAGAAAGAAAAGACAAUGAAUAUCCCCAUUUGAAACAAAUAAAUGAAAAAUUUAUCUAAAAUGACAAUCAACUCUAAUGAUUAUGCCAUGCAUUUGAAUUAAGCUGCCUGAUCUUUGCAUCCAAACUUUCUACCAAUUGUUGUUGAAGUAAUAACUCUGAAUUUGAGUUACUUCCUUGGGCCAGUACAUUCGGAGACCUUAUUCGGCUAGUGGCGCCUUGAAGGGUUUUCGCCAACAAGCUUCUCUUAUUUUCUUUUCCUCAACUCAUCAUCGCCUUAUGGUGCCCAUGAGGGUUUUACCAAUAAGGCUCUCUCAUUUUUAUUUCUCUCAACUUACCAUCAUCUUACGGUGCCCGAAAGGGUUUUCACCAAUAAGACUUUCUCAUUUUUAUCUCUCUCAACUUACACCAUUGAGACUCUUUUUUUUUCACUUUUCUCUUGAUUUCUUAUGCUGAGGAAGACGUGCAGUUCCCAAAAUGCGUCAUCAUAUGCAUUGCAUACUUAGCCUUAACAUUUUUAAAGAUUGAUCUGAAGGUCUUUCUUUGGUUGUAUCUUGGCUUUUGGAUAAGGUUAGAAAGAAAGAAUGACAUGAGGCCCAAACGACACUUGAAGUGGGGUAGGACUUACAUUUUUUGGAAUCGACUCAAACAAUGAGGAUUAACUCAUGCCCCAGUUUCUUUUGACUGGGUGACACUAAAUUGUUUAUUUGGUUGGACCGAGUUCUUAGUAGGGCAGCCUACGUAUCUCAGCCUCGAGAGAGGAUAAUCAGGUCAUGCGUAGUUCUGGCAGCUUGUUCUUUUGCUUGAUUCUAAUUUCCUUUUCUUUUCUUUGAUUGACUCUCUUUUUGGGAUUUUUCUGACUCUAUUUUGCUUGACACUCUUUUUUCUUUUUGGACACAUUUUUUUAUAUACCUUUUGACUCUAUUUUUCGCUUGACACCCUUUUUUUAGCUUUGCUGACUCUAUCUUGAUUCCAAAAAAAGAGUAUGAAAGAAAAUAGGACAAAAGCUCAAAUGGGGUAAACAAAGGAUGAUACGAUGUUUGGAUAGUAGAAUGAAGUGCCUUCGUCAUAUCAAUCCAUGAAAAAUGCAAGUACAUAUCAUGCAAUAUGAAAGUGAGAGAUGAAGAUCAUUUGUGAUAUUUUUUUAUGGCACUAAUUUUAACUGAGACUGUGCGUUGCUACUUCUUCUGCAAACUCCAUCUUUGUUGUACAUUCCUCAUGCUUUCGUGGAGCUAAUUUUUCUAUUCCUUUUGAUGUAGGGUCACACAUUUACUACUUGACCUAAUUGAGAUAUGUCUUUCAAUUAAUGACCAAGUUUUUCUCACAAUUCUCAAAAUAAUUGUCUUAAUUUUCAAAGAGGCUUCAACUUAAUCACCAAAUGCCCCAGCUCUCUAUCUAUUUUCUCAAAUGCUCUCUUUUCUAACUUUAACCCUCUAAUUCAAUGUUCAUGCUUAAACUGGAUUUUAAGAUCUGGCUGAAAAUUCCGCAAGCAUGUCAUAUCAAUAGAGUCAACAUAAAAUGUACUAUAUAAAGAAAACAAACAAACAACACAUAUUUUAGAACACAAAAGAAAAAGGGGACACUUCGUUUAGUUGAAACAAAAGAUAGAAGGGUUUGAACAUAAACAACAAAAGGACAAAAUAAGAUAGAUUCGAAACUAUAACCCUGAAAUAAUUCGGAUGACAGAAAAUAAAUCAAAACAAGCUACCAGACCCCUUCCUAGUAAGGAGAGGGGUAACUUCUCAAUUGCUCAACCUGACAUCUUAGCCACUGGUUUGCAUAUCAGCAUGACUAGAGCUUUCCUCACUGUCAAUGUUCUGCACCAUGAUUGAUUUAUCUUGAAUCAUCUUUUCAAUUUCUCUUUUCAAAGCAAGACAAUCUUCAAUACUGUGACCCUGAACAUUAGAAUGAUAUACACAUCGUACAUUAGGAUCUAAACUUCUUAAAUGUGGGUCAGGAGUAUACCCAAGGAGAGGAGUGAUCAUGCCCUAUUGAACCAAUCUCUGGAAUAAACUUGCAUACAACUCUUCAACUAGUGUGAAGCUAUCCCUUAACUUCUGUCUUAUUUCAUUGUUUGGCUUAAAUUGAAAACCAGGCCUAGAAGGGCUUCAGUAUGUAUGUGGAGUUGGAAGAUGACUCGGCAGAGUUGGCGCACGCCAGUGUGGGUAAGAUAGAGGUUGAACAUAAGGUUGCACAUUAUACACUUGAUAUGGAGGUGGGGGAAUGGGAUAUAAUAGAUUUUGGUAAAGGUUCUGUGGAGCUUGGGCAUAAACUUGGGUUUGAGCUCGUGGGUAACGAUUGUCUCCCCCAUUUUGAGGACCUCAAUAAAUGGCUUGCCUAAUGUAGGUAACAAGUGUUGAUAAUAUGUUUCAUCCUGUGCUUGAAUAAACGUCUCCACUAUCUUACUUUCUUUCAUUGGUGGUUUCACCCUUGCAGCUUGUUCAUGCCAUCUAAUCGCAUACUCUCUGAAAGUUUCAGUACUCUUUUUCUUCAUAUUAGUUAGGGAUUUUUGGUCAGGAAUCAACUCCAUAUUGUAUUGAAAUUGUUCCACAAAUUCAUUAGCCAGGUCAUCCCAACUAUUCCACUUGUCAAUGUCUUGCUCAACAAAUAAUUCUGAAGCUAGACCUAAAAGACUCUCACCAAAAUAUGCCAUGAGUAAUUCUUCCUUCUCUCCAGCGCCCCUUAGCUGGUUGCAAUAGCAUCUCAAAUAUGCUAUAGGAUCGCCAUGUCCAUCAUACUUCUCAAACUUUGGCAUUUUAAAACCAAGAGGAAGAUGUACACCUGGAAACAUGCACAGAUCUUUAUAUGAGACACUUUUGUACCCCCAAGUCCUUGCAAGUUUUUUAUAGUCAGUUCUAAACUUCUGAAUUUUUUGGCCAUUUCCUCUUGUUCUUCUAUCAUAACAGGCUUCUCAGUGUUAGGAGAAAAUUCAAAUAGUUGAGGAAAGUCAUAAGGACCGGUCGAUUUAAAUGUGGGCUCGGGAGCAUAAUGUUGAUUACUAAAAAUUUUCAAUAUAGGGUCGCUUGUAGAGUGAGGAAUCACAAUCGUUGGAUUGACAUUAAAAGUAGGAGCUUCAGACGAGAGUGGGGCUGCAAAAGCAUGGAUAGCAGGCAGAGACGAGCAUGUGGUAAUUUUGUAUUGAGAAGUGAGGAAAUAAAUAUUGGAAGUUUUUGGAUACUGUUUCCCCGGAGUAGGUCCUGAUGCAUGUUGUGGCGUGUCGACUGAAAUAGGAAAUUGUGCAUGUGACACUGGAGGCAAACUAGAAAGAUAUUCCAGAUUAUCAGUGGGAAAUGGAGGAGGCGGCAACCCAUUAGCCCAAGCUCGAUGCAUUUCUAUCAUUGCUGCUUUAAUUUCCAAAUCUCUUUAUUAGCUCCUACAUUCUCAUUCGUCGAACUCCCUAUCUGAUUAGUGACAACAAACUUGGUAUCCUUGUUGGCCAUAACUUUCUCUGUGACUUGGAGCAAUAUGGAGGACCAGCCAAAAUGCCACAAACCAACCACCUUAAACUAACUAGACAAGAGAUAGCAAAUGCAUUAGAGUUCAACAAUUUCUCAAAACCUCUUUUUUUCUUUUCUUGAAAAGAUCACCGAACCCAAGAAGGGCGCCUAUGUAUCUCGCCCCCGAGAGGGGAGAAUUAAGUAUGCGUAGUUCGUGAAGUCUUACCAAAAUGGCCAAUUAAACUCUUUUUCUUUCUUUUUCUUUUUCUUGAAACUUCAAAAAUAACAAAUUGUCAACGGAAUUGACAAAAAUCUUUUUGCAUUUUUCAGGUUUAAACUCCCUAUACAAAACGAAACCUAUGAUUACCAAAGAAAAAUCUUUUUGGGAUUUUUGGUUUUUGAAUUUCAUGUGAAAAUGAAACUUGAACCUAUUAAAGGAAAAUCUUUUUGUAGUUUUCUUUUGAAGAUGCAUAUGACACCUACUCCAAAUAAAGAGUGAAGAAAAAUAUUUUUAAUUUUUGAAAUAAGAUCACCGAACCAACAAUAGGUUGCCUACGUAUCUCACAUCCCGAAAGAGGAGAAUCAGGGGUGGGUAGUUCGUCCAGAUAGGACAAUUAAUGAUUAAAUAACCGACUGUACCCUGACUUGAGAGACGCAACCACAAAUAGAAGAUGAAAAACAUAAAUAAAAUCUUUUUGAGUUUUCAAUUUGACACUUAACCUAAAAAUGACACCAACAAAUAUGAAAGGAAAAUCUUUUGAUAUUUUUGUUAUAUGAAAUGUACAAAACUUCUACCAUUUUUUUUUUGCAUUUUCCUUUAUAAAAACCUUCUAUUGUAAAAAAAAUCUUUUUUGAAAAUUUCGAAUUAUGAAUUCAUGCUAAAGGAGACAAAGUGAGAAAUCUUUUUGGUGUUUUGGUUUUUGAACAAAUGAGUGCAGAGAGUAAAGAAAUCUUUUUGAAUUUUUGAAUUGUGAAAAAACAAAAGCCAUAAAGAACACUAAAAGCUACGAAACUCUUUUUUUUAAAUGGUUUCUUGUCUACAUACUUUACUUCUAACAUAUGCUUUCCCCAAAUCAGUCCGUCAAAUGACCAUAUUACCCUCAAAGAUGCAACAUUUAGCACAUAGAGAUGCUUUACAGGCGAGUCUCCUACAAAGGGCCAAGUGGGCCCCUCUAGGUCUUCAAUAUGAUGCACAUAAGAAUGACCUAAAGGCUGACCUAUGUUGUGGUUUACUAACAAGACCGUUCGGGGGAGCAUAUGGUCGAUAGUGGUUGAUUUGCUUUCCACCUACUCCAUGCAUCCAAUGGCUUUCCCCCUAAAAUAAGGGUUACUUAACUAGAGUUCGUGCGCACGACGUGCAUUCCGGAACUUGUUGCAGAAAGAAUUGACUCGGGUUAUGCAAAUGAUGCCAGAUAUGAAGCGGUAACACAUAAAGAAAAACUGUAAACAAAGAGCACAUAAACGCACAACAGUGAUAACAAUAACACAAACAAUAAUCACAAAUAAUGUUUAUACACCCAUAAUGCCGAACAAAGUCAAUAUGACUGCAAAAAUAAGCUCGAAUUCUGAAAAGUCCCCAGCAGAGUCGCCAGAGCUGUCAUACCCCCUUUUUUACCACUCCAAAAGAUUUGAUUUUAGUUCGAAAGGAUUUUUACUAUUAAAGUGACAAAAUGAAGAUUUGUUCCGAAAGGACUUCUUAUAUUCAAAACUCAGAGUCGCCACUUGGCAUAAAUCGGGUAUGCCAAGUCACCUUUGAAAAUCCCUUUCAAAACAAUUUGACUCUUUAAACUGGUUUGCGAACAGAGAUUCUGGCUAAGGAAUUCUGUUGACCAAGGGGAAGGUGUUAGGCACCCCUCGAUCCCGUGGUUCGACCACGGUCGCUUGAUAGAGCGUAUCGGCUAAUUUGACAUUAUAAAUGUAUAAACCACACAAAGCAUGCAAAACAAUCAAUCAAGAAAACAAAAUGAAACAAAUCAAAAUUUAGUUUCCAGUCCAAUUAUACAGUCCAAAAUAGAAAAAUGCGUAAAAUAUAAAUCCUAUUUUAAGCAAAUCCUAAAACUGCGUUCCAAUGCCUUACCCGAUGCCUCGGACCUUGAUCACGUGCCUCCUCUGCGUACAUGAUACUUCGGGGCAUUCCCUGGAUAAAGCAAUACAAAUCUCUCGGGUCAUUCCCCGACCAAAUGAAUACAUUAGAAUCAAGUACGGCCCAUUCACAUUCAAACAUUCAACCAGACACAAGUUCUAAAUUUGCCUACCCACACCUACAUUUGCCUAUCUGUUUCAACAAAAUUCAUGCUUAUUCCAAAUUAAACCGCUAAUAAUGAAUUAAAACAAAUACCUAUUCACUUUUAUCAAUUUUAAUUCCGCUCCAAACAACCAAUUUUAAUUCUCAAAUGAGAUGCUAUUUCACCAUGCAAAUCAUAAUCAAAGGAACCAACCGUGAAUUAAAACAAAUACGCGUUCAUCACCAACAAGGAUCAAACAAAACACACAAUAUUCAAUCCAACACACCAAAAUACAGUAAAUAAUGAAAUAAAAAGAGAGAUAAUAGAAUUGGACCUCAAUUCGUAGCUUUCAAACUCAAUGUUAUUCGAAUAAAGAGAAUCCGCGCCCGAAAACCUCGAACCGAACCUCAAACAAAUGAACUCAUCCAACUCAGAACUGAGAAUCACAGAAACAAAGAGACCUGGACCAGAUUCUCAUGAACCCACACAACCUUGAACUAAAAAUUAUGAGAAAUAAGAGAAAUUCGGCCCGAUUCCAAUGGGUUUGGAUGGAAUCAAAAGCAGAUCGAGGUUUGUUUGAUGAUUUUGUGUCACUGUAACCCUGGUAAACUUUGGCUAUAACCAAAACAACAAAGAGAUAUCAGUUGAGAUGUAUUCGAUAGGUUUUGAACGAAUUUAUGACAGCUGGAUGCGAUUUCGGCGAGCCUGUUGCCGGAACAGUAAUCAAACUAUCAAACUCAUGUUCCUCAAGCUCUCACUCGCCGAAAACUGCUUCGCCAUCGUUCUCUUUUGAUUUCAAUCGCAUAUCUCUCCCUCUCUCACAGCUCUCUGUCACUCUCUCGCAGAUAACUCUCUCGCAGAUCUCUCUCACUCUCUCGCAGCUCUCUCUUUCUCACAUCAUCUCUUAUCUAUCCAUUUCUGUGUGUAUCCCGGUGGAAUUAAGAGUGUGAAAUGUAUAUGGGUGUGUGACGGUGAGGUCGAAGGAAUUGUGGUGAAAAAAUGGAGUCUCCGUGCUGUGUGUGGUAGCCAGUGGAGAGUAUUUUUUUUGGUCCCCCAAUGGAAAAUGGGAGUAUCCUCUUAUGUAUUGAUAAGAAUGGAAAAAUUUGUGGGCCCCACGCCUCUUUUUUUUUUUUUAAUUGUUCAUCAAUUGUUAUGGAAAAGAAAAAGGUAAAGAAAACGUUAGUGGGGUGAGGGGUAGGGUAAACGGGUAGUGUAAGG
rnacentral:lncRNA from 1 species